rnacentral:tRNA from 1 species
GGCUACUUGAUCUAGUGGUAUGAUUCUUGCUUCGGGUGCAAGAGGUCCCGGGUUCGAUUCCCGGAGUAGCCAAA